rnacentral:rRNA from 1 species
UACGUAGGGUGCGAGCGUUGUCCGGAAUUACUGGGCGUAAAGAGCUUGUAGGUGGUUUGUCGCGUUGUUCGUGAAAACUCACAGCUCAACUGUGGGCGUGCGGGCGAUACGGGCAGACUAGAGUACUGCAGGGGAGACUGGAAUUCCUGGUGUAGCGGUGGAAUGCGCAGAUAUCAGGAGGAACACCGGUGGCGAAGGCGGGUCUCUGGGCAGUAACUGACGCUGAGAAGCGAAAGCCAGGGGAGCAAACGGG